rnacentral:rRNA from 1 species
AGGACGAACGCUGGCGGCGUGCUUAACACAUGCAAGUCGAGCGGACAUCUUCGGGUGUUAGCGGCGAACGGGUGAGUAACACGUGGGCAACCUGCCCCUAGCUCUGGGAUAACUCCGGGAAACCGGGGCUAAUACUGGAUAUGACCGAUCCAUGCAUGUGGGUUGGUGGAAAGUUUUUCGGCUAGGGAUGGGCCCGCGGCCUAUCAGCUUGUUGGUGGGGUGAUGGCCUACCAAGGCGACGACGGGUA